GGAAAUUUUUCAUAUCAUGGUGUGCAUAUUGAUGUUUUUUAAUCUUUCUGAAUUCAGGGAAUUCUGAAUUCGGGCCCGCCAGGGGGGGGGGGGGGUUGUAGGACCCCGCGCUGAAAAAAUGCCACGGGCCCCGCGAAAGGUUAAUCCGGCCCUUUAUUGUGGCGGAUAAACAAGAAAAGCCGUUGUUUUCAAAAUGGAAAGUAAGGGAUGCAAUAAAGAUAUUUUCAUGGGGAGUUUUGUUGAUAGUAUUAAAUAGUGAACAGCUGUAAAAUCUCGAAUAGCUGUAAAAUCUCGAAUGCCG